GACGAACGCUGGCGGCGUGCUUAACACAUGCAAGUCGAACGGUGAAGCGCCUUCCUUUUUGGUGGGUGUGGAUGAGUGGCGAACGGGUGAGUAACACGUGAGUAACCUGCCCCCUUCUUCUGGAUAACCGCAUGAAAGUGUGGCUAAUACGGGAUAUUCUGGGUCUGUCGCAUGAUGGGUCUGGGAAAGAUAUUGUUUCGGUGGGGGAUGGGCUCGCGGCCUAUCAGCUUGUUGGUGGGGUGAUGGCCUACCAAGGCGGUGACGGGUAGCCGGCCUGAGAGGGUGGACGGUCACACUGGGACUGAGACACGGCCCAGACUCCUACGGGAGGCAGCAGUGGAGAAUAUUGCACAAUGGGCGCAAGCCUGAUGCAGCGACGCCGCGUGAGGGAUGGAGGCCUUCGGGUUGUGAACCUCUUUCGCCAGUGAAGCAGGCCUGCCUCGUUUGUGGGUGGGUUGACGGUAGCUGGAUAAGAAGCGCCGGCUAACUACGUG
rnacentral:rRNA from 1 species